rnacentral:rRNA from 1 species
GCAAGAUUACACAUGCAGUCGAGCGGUAAGGCCUUUCGGGGUACACGAGCGGCGAACGGGUGAGUAACACGUGGGUGAUCUGCCCUGCACUUCGGGAUAAGCCUGGGAAACUGGGUCUAAUACCGGAUAUGACCUCCUGUUGCAUGACUUGGGGUGGAAAGAUUUAUCGGUGCAGGAUGGGCCCGCGGCCUAUCAGCUUGUUGGUGGGGUAAUGGCCUACCAAGGCGACGACGGGUAGCCGACCUGAGAGGGUGACCGGCCACACUGGGACUGAGACACGGCCCAGACUCCUACGGGAGGCAGCAGUGGGGAAUAUUGCACAAUGGGCGAAAGCCUGAUGCAGCGACGCCGCGUGAGGGAUGACGGCCUUCGGGUUGUAAACCUCUUUCAGCAGGGACGAAGCGCAAGUGACGGUACCUGCAGAAGAAGCACCGGCUAACUACGUGCCAGCAGCCGCGGUAAUACGUAGGGUGCAAGCGUUGUCCGGAAUUACUGGGCGUAAAGAGUUCGUAGGCGGUUUGUCGCGUCGUUUGUGAAAACCAGCAGCUCAACUGCUGGCUUGCAGGCGAUACGGGCAGACUUGAGUACUGCAGGGGAGACUGGAAUUCCUGGUGUAGCGGUGAAAUGCGCAGAUAUCAGGAGGAACACCGGUGGCGAAGGCGGGUCUCUGGGCAGUAACUGACGCUGAGGAACGAAAGCGUGGGUAGCGAACAGGAUUAGAUACCCUGGUAGUCCACGCCGUAAACGGUGGGCGCUAGGUGUGGGUUCCUUCCACGGAAUCCGUGCCGUAGCUAACGCAUUAAGCGCCCCGCCUGGGGAGUACGGCCGCAAGGCUAAAACUCAAAGGAAUUGACGGGGGCCCGCACAAGCGGCGGAGCAUGUGGAUUAAUUCGAUGCAACGCGAAGAACCUUACCUGGGUUUGACAUAUACCGGAAAGCUGCAGAGAUGUGGCCCCCCUUGUGGUCGGUAUACAGGUGGUGCAUGGCUGUCCUCAGCUCUUGUCGUGAGAUGUUGGGUUAAGUCCCGCACCAACGCAACCCCUAUCUUAUGUUGCCCCCCCUUUUGUGGGGAUCUUAAAAAACUGCCGGGUCACUCCGAAGAAGGGGGGGACAACUCAAUUCUCUA